rnacentral:rRNA from 1 species
GACGGAGGAUGCAAGUGUUAUCCGGAAUCACUGGGCGUAAAGCGUCUGUAGGUGGUUUAAUAAGUCAACUGUUAAAUCUUGAGGCUCAACCUCAAAAUCGCAGUCGAAACUAUUAGGCUAGAGUAUAGUAGGGGUAAAGGGAAUUUCCAGUGGAGCGGUGAAAUGCGUAGAGAUUGGAAAGAACACCGAUGGCGAAGGCACUUUACUGGGCUAUUACUAACACUCAGAGACGAAAGCUGAGGUAGCAAAUGGG